UUCCUUUCUCCCUUCUUCAUUCUGCCGGGAGGUUCAGGGGCACUUCCUUUUCACUACUGUGAGACCAACUUGGUCAAAGUCAUGCAAUGCCUAACCCAGGGACAAGCAUGAGGAGAACCACCGGCCCUUAUUCCACAAGGGCCCCGUGAUUAAGGUGAACAGCAAGCAACGCUAUGCUUCAAACGCAGUGUCAGAGGCCCUGAUCCGAGAGGUGGCCAACAAAGUCAAGGUCCCCCUGCAGGAUCUCAUGGUCCGGAAUGACACCCCCUGUGGAACCACCAUUGGACCUAUCUUGGCUUCUCGGCUGGGGCUGCGGGUGCUGGAUUUAGGCAGCCCCCAACUGGCCAUGCACUCUAUCCGGGAGAUGGCCUGCACCACAGGAGUCCUCCAGACCCUCACCCUCUUCAAGGGCUUCUUCGAGCUGUUCCCUUCUCUAAGCCAUAAUCUCUUAGUGGAUUGAGCCCUCUUGGAAAGACUUCUCUGCCAUCCCUUUGCACCUGAGAGGGGAAGUUCUCAGCUGAGCUGAAGCUGGAUUAUUAAAGUGGAUUUUCACUC
rnacentral:sRNA from 1 species